UACGUAGGGUGCGAGCGUUAAUCGGAAUUACUGGGCGUAAAGCGUGCGCAGGCGGUUUUGUAAGCCAGAUGUGAAAUCCCCGGGCUUAACCUGGGAACUGCGUUUGAAACUGAAAGGCUAGAGUGUGGCAGAGGGGGGUGGAAUUCCACGUGUAGCAGUGAAAUGCGUAGAGAUGUGGAGGAACACCGAUGGCGAAGGCAGCCCCCUGGGCUAACACUGACGCUCAUGCACGAAAGCGUGGGGGGCAAACAGG
rnacentral:rRNA from 1 species